GACGGAGGAUGCAAGCGUUAUCCGGAAUGAUUGGGCGUAAAGCGUCCGCAGGUGGCAGUUCAAGUCUGCUGUCAAAGACCGGGGCUUAACUUCGGAAAGGCAGUGGAAACUGAACAGCUAGAGUGUGGUAGGGGCAGAGGGAAUUCCUGGUGUAGCGGUGAAAUGCGUAGAGAUCAGGAAGAACAUCGGUGGCGAAGGCGCUCUGCUGGACCAUAACUGACACUCAGGGACGAAAGCUAGGGGAGCGAAUGGG
rnacentral:rRNA from 1 species